rnacentral:rRNA from 1 species
AUUGAACGCUGGCGGCAUGCUUUACACAUGCAAGUCGAACGGUAACAGGGUGCUUGCACCGCUGACGAGUGGCGAACGGGUGAGUAAUGCGUCGGAACGUGCCGAGUAGUGGGGGAUAACGCAGCGAAAGUUGUGCUAAUAACGCAUCCGUACUGAGGGAGAAAGUGGGGGACCUUCGGGCCUCACGCUAUUCGAGCGGCCGAAGUCUGAUUAGCUAGUAGGUGAGGUAAAGGCUCACCUAGGCGACGAUCAGUAGCGGGUCUGAGAGGAUGAUCCGCCACACUGGGACUGAGACACGGCACAGACUCCUACGGGAGGCAGCAGUGGGGAAUUUUGGACAAUGGGCGAAAGCCUGAUCCAGCCAUGCCGCGUGUCUGAAGAAGGCCUUCGGGUUGUAAAGGACUUUUGUCAGGGAGGAAAUCCCUAGUGCUAAUAACACUGGGGGAUGACAGUACCUGAAGAAUAAGCACCGGCUAACUACGUGCCAGCCGCCGCGGUAA